GAAAUGCGAUAAGUAAUGUGAAUUGCAGAAUUCAGUGAAUCAUCGAAUCUUUGAACGCACAUUGCGCCCGCCAGUAUUCUGGCGGGUAUGCCUGUCCGAGCGUCAUUUCAACCAUCAAGCCCCCGGGCUUGUGUUGGGGACCUGCGGCUGCCGCAGGCCCUGAAAAGCAGUGGCGGGCUCGCUGUCACACCGAGCGUAGUAGCAUACAUCUCGCUCUGGGCGUUCUGCGGGUUCCGGCCGUUAAACCACCUUCGUAACCCAAGGUUGACCUCGGAUCAGGUAGGAAGACCCGCUGAACUUAAGC
rnacentral:misc_RNA from 1 species